ensembl:lincRNA
AUGUUGUUUGUUACUGCUGUGAAACCGCCGCUGUCUGGAGGGGGGCGGGGGUUUUGUACGAACUGCACAGAAGGUGGAGGAGUGAGCGCACGGUGUCCGCUUUUGUAUUUUGCAGGAGCUCCCGGGCCGGCCGGACAGGAGCAAACCCGAACCCGAGGCCAAGGCGCGAGGAUGAACCCCAGGGCGCUCUGCCUGCACGCGCACCUGCUCCUCCUGCUGAGCCCCGUGCUGGGGGGCGCAGAGCGAGGGGGUGCGUUGGCGUGCCUGUCCGGACACGCCACCGAUAUCAGCUGCUCCUUCAACGAGACGAACGUCUGCGAUUCGAUCCGGGACUGCAACGUGACGGCCGGGGCGUGCGGACUCUUCCCCGGCUACACGCGAGUGGAGUGCCGGGUCACCUAUGAUGGUGAAGGACAAGACUGCAUUAAUGUAACCAUGGGGAAGGACUCCAAAUGUUACAACGGUGGGAAGAAAAUCGCCAGUCAAGCUGAAGGCCCCGCCUGCAUUAAAGCUGGCAGCCUGCAGUGCACACAUGUGUUUGUCCAGCAAGAUUUGGGGUGCAACCACGACGGUCAUACUGAUUUCCCAUCCUGCUCUUUUCUCCCUCAUGGGAGUGAGGGGGGAUCUCUAUCAGACUGGAGUCUUUCGGUCGGAGUGAUUGUUGGCGUGUUGGCUGUCACCAUUGUGGCUGGAGUUCUGGUCUGGAAAUACAGGCGACAGAAAAGGACAAGCAGGGGGGACCUGGAAAGUUCAGUAGGGAGCGAAGAUCCACUGCAAGCUGGUGACAUGUGAAGGUCCGGACUGCCGGAGAGGCUGUUAAACUGAGACUGAGACGCUUGCUGUCCUGCAGAAUUGUUAUUCCCUGUAACUGUUCCUUUUGACAGUGUCCUGCUGUGAGUUUUCUGCUUUGUGACUGUUCCAGCACACUCCUCACAGAUGGAGAAAAUGCUGUUCUGUAUUGCCUUUCAGCCAUGUGUAUAGAAUUGAGAAACCGUCCUGCUGAGCGGGCUGAGAUCUGGGUCCACAUUCACUCCAGUGCUGAAGUGUGAAACCUCAGAGCUGUUUAAUCAAGGAACUCUGGGAAGAGAACGCGCACGGUGCGGUAUAGCCCUCUGGUGUGAGCGAGCUGUCGUGCGUGAAAGCACAGUGCGUUCGUGGGCUGCCCUCUGCUGGUAGACAGCAAGGUGGUGCAGCUGAGUAAACCGCGUAGUGAAUAACUCGGGAGCCCCGAGUCCGAAUCGCUCUUGUCUUCUGGAGCACAACCUUAGAACAGGGAGACAUUCCCCACAUACACGCACAAAGCAUCCCUCAACAGCACUUUUUUUUCUUGCUCCUGUGUUAAUGUGGAUAAUGGAGCUGUAUUUUUUAUUUUGUUUUGAUGGUUGUUGUAUUUAUUGGGUUGAACGCACAGCUUGUUGUUCCUCUCUCUGAGCACUGCGGCUGCCCGCAAUCCUGCGUCGGUUCUUACUGUUUCAGGACCUCCUGCGCCAGCAGGGGGCAGCGCAGCGUGGUGGGCACGUCUCCGGACUCACAGCAGGGGAGAUAGCGGUCCGUUUGUCAGGCUCACAUCGAAAUGCCCACCUGAACUACACCUGGACAGGGACUCUCUUCUUUAACUGGGAGAGUUAACUUAGUCUUCAGUGGGCUUAGCAGCCACCUGGAGCUUGACUGAAGCUGCUAUCUGCCCCUGGACUGAGAGCACAGCCUCAGAGCCCCACACAGCGCUGGGUCUCCUUCCUCAGUCCCUCUCGUCUGCCUUCAAUGAGACACGGGUACUUGACUCGGUCUUCUCUGUUUACUCUUGCACAAUGUCUUUGUUAAUUGAGCCUACUGAUGUUGCAAUAGUUCUUUUAUUUUUUUUGCCGUAACCGUCUGCACUGUCAGCCUCGUGUUUCAGGUGGGGGAUAACGAGGGGGAUGCGGGUGCGUUCUAUUUUACACUCGGUCUAGGGCGAGGCUCUGUGUGUCGGCGCUGGUGAUUGGACUCGCGCCCCCUCCAGGCGAGAGCAGUCACGGCCCGUCAUUCUGCACUGCACCCUGGGAACCCAUACUAGGCUCCGUUCUGCCAUCCUGACUCGGGUGAUCCGAUGGGAAGCAGCAGAGUGACUGAUCAGUGGCUGUUCACAGGACUGACCACGAGGAGCCCGGUGCAGACAGUUAAAAAACAAUGUGAAUAUGGGUCUCUGUCCUGUCAGGGGAUUUGUGAUGGUGCCCAUGCGGCUGUAUCUCAGGGAACGGCUUUGGUUGUUUGAGGCGUAGAGAUAUUCAGGAUGGAAUUAUGCGUGACAAACACGAUUGCGGAACAGGAUGUGUUACCUUUUACUGGGACUAAUUUUGUUUGCAUUCACUUUGAAAUAGGAGUGUUUCUGCUCUUGGUAUCUUCUGCAUUCUGGCUGUGUGAAGCGCCCGGGGAGAGAUCUUACUCGGAAGAAGGUGUUAGAUAUAGUAUAGAAAUAGGUGAACGUAAGGACACAAGAUUGACUCUAAUACAGUGAAAAUCUGUAAAUAAAUGAAGUGUCAAUGAGUACUGUACUCAGGGUAGCACUGUGACUUAAUUACCCUCUUCCUGUAACUGGAUAGUACCUGUUUUUUUAGUUAAUAAAGCACAUAUUACACUAAUACUGUUUACAUUUUACAUUUGUUUUUAGUUGUAUUUGUUCAUCUUCUUUCUGAGUUUUGGAUUCAUUGCAAAUUCUUCCUCUUUGAGGUCUGUCAUAGUUACUGUGAUGUGUUGAGAACUGAUCAACACAACCCUGUGAUUGGUCAGAAUAUCAAGUAUAAUUCAUUUAAAUAGCACCUUUGACCUCAAAGAAUACCCUGCAGAAGUACA